AGAGUUUGAUCAUGGCUCAGAGCGAACGCUGGCGGCAGGCUUAACACAUGCAAGUCGAACGGGCACCUUCGGGUGUCAGUGGCAGACGGGUGAGUAACACGUGGGAACGUGCCCUUUGGUUCGGAACAACUCCGGGAAACUGGAGCUAAUACCGGAUAAGCCCUUCGGGGGAAAGAUUUAUCGCCAAAGGAUCGGCCCGCGUCUGAUUAGCUAGUUGGUGAGGUAAUGGCUCACCAAGGCGACGAUCAGUAGCUGGUCUGAGAGGAUGAUCAGCCACACUGGGACUGAGACACGGCCCAGACUCCUACGGGAGGCAGCAGUGGGGAAUAUUGGACAAUGGGCGAAAGCCUGAUCCAGCCAUGCCGCGUGAGUGAUGAAGGCCUUAGGGUUGUAAAGCUCUUUCGGCGGGGACGAUAAUGACGGUACCCGCAGAAGAAGCCCCGGCUAACUUCGUGCCAGCAGCCGCGGUAAUACGAAGGGGGCUAGCGUUGCUCGGAAUCACUGGGCGUAAAGGGCGCGUAGGCGGAUCUUUAAGUCGGGGGUGAAAGCCCAGGGCUCAACCCUGGAAUUGCCUUCGAUACUGAAGAUCUCGAGACCGGAAGAGGUGAGUGGAACUGCGAGUGUAGAGGUGAAAUUCGUAGAUAUUCGCAAGAACACCAGUGGCGAAGGCGGCUCACUGGUCCGGUUCUGACGCUGAGGCGCGAAAGCGUGGGGAGCAAACAGGAUUAGAUACCCUAGUAGUCC
rnacentral:rRNA from 1 species